CCUACGGGUGGCAGCAGUGGGGAAUAUUGCGCAAUGGGCGAAAGCCUGACGCAGCGACGCCGCGUGAGGGAUGAAGGUCUUCGGAUCGUAAAGCCCUGUCAGCAGGGAAGAAAAUGACGGUACCUGAAGAAGAAGCCCCGGCUAACUACGUGCCAGCAGCCGCGGUAAUACGUAGGGGGCAAGCGUUAUCCGGAUUUACUGGGUGUAAAGGGGGCGCAGACGGCGAUGCAAGCCAGGAGUGAAAGCCCGGGGCCCAACCCCGGGACUGCUCUUGGAACUGCGUGGCUGGAGUGCAGGAGGGGCAGGCGGAAUUCCUGGUGUAGCGGUGAAAUGCGUAGAUAUCAGGAGGAACACCGGUGGCGAAGGCGGCUUACUAAACUGUGACUGACAUUGAUGCUCGAAAGUGUGGGUAUCAAACAGGAUUAGAUACCCGGGUAGUC
rnacentral:rRNA from 1 species